AGGACGAACGCUGGCGGCGUGCUUAACACAUGCAAGUCGAGCGGAAAGGCCCUUCGGGGUACUCGAGCGGCGAACGGGUGAGUAACGCGUGAGUAAUCUGCCCCUAGCUCUGGGAUAGCUCCGGGAAACCGGGAUUAAUACCGGAUAUGACCACUUUAGACAUCUGCUGUGGUGGAAAGAAUUUCGGCUAGGGAUGAGCUCGCGGCCUAUCAGCUUGUUGGUGGGGUAACGGCCUACCAAGGCGACGACGGGUAGCCGGCCUGAGAGGGCGACCGGCCACACUGGGACUGAGACACGGCCCAGACUCCUACGGGAGGCAGCAGUGGGGAAUAUUGCGCAAUGGGCGAAAGCCUGACGCAGCGACGCCGCGUGGGGGAUGAAGGCCUUCGGGUUGUAACCCCUUUCAGCAGGGACGAAGCGAAAGUGACGGUACCUGCAGAAGAAGCGCCGGCUAACUACGUGCCAGCAGCCGC
rnacentral:rRNA from 1 species